CUCCGUCACGCUCCCCUCCCCCGAAGGCUGCGCUGACCGGACAAUGGCCGCUCCGCCCCCUCCCCUCCUCACACACCCCUCCUAAGGAGUCACAAUGGUCUCGCCCGGGGGAGCCGCCGCCAAAGCCCAGCAGCUGAUCAGCUGGGAUCCGGGCGUGCCACUUUGUUCAGCCCCUCAAAGGAAGAGUACGGGGCUGUGGGCAAAGCCGAGACCGUCGGGCUAUCACCCGGCGACGGGCCUCUGAGGUUUUCAUAUUCUUGGAACUUUUAAAAUCUGAGGCAAACUUACCUUCUCCCUGUCUGAAGAAGGGGAGCAGGUUUCUGAGUACCCUGGGGCACGUUGCCUCCCCCCAAACGCGAAUGGUACGCCCCGAGCGGGAGGGGGAGGAGUAGAUUAGUUGUUUAGGGUAAGUCGGGCCAGUCCCAGAGCGGCGGACGAGUGCUACGCAUGCGCCCGGAGACCCCGUAACCGGAGUGGACAUGUUUAGUUUGGGGAGGAGACCUAUGGCCGAAUCAGUGAUGAAAAUUAACGUAAGCAAAGAAGUUCGAGCCACCAAAAAAUAAGCCUUUAGCGCUUCUUGUCUUUCAUCUUGAACUCAUUCUGAGUUCCAGCCAAUCGUGAGCAGAAGGCGAUUGUAGAUGGCAAAUGUCAACGCGGAGGAAACUUCCACCAUAUCUACUGGAGAGGUGACUCCCACAGCUGAGACCCUUGUUGGCGAACUUCGAAGGUCACUGCUACUUCCGGAAGGUUUCCUGGCUCUUAGAAAAGGCAGCUGUGUACCCCUGAUUCGGCAAGAAUACGAGACCCUCAGAGGAUAUUACCUAGAUUAAUUUUAUUGUCAAAUGUUAUUAUUUCUAUAUCUACCAUUAUGUCUGUGCACGCUCUGUGGACUUGUUGACAUUUAUGUCGCUUCUUUUGGCCUCUAAAGAGCAAGGAUCACAUUUAGCUUAGCAUCUUCUAAAAGAUGCUGUGGAUGAUAAAGACAAAUGAUUGCAAAAAUCAAGUUCUUUACAGCCAAUGCACUUCCAAAAGUGAGUGCUGAUUUUCGUAAUAUUUAGUUUCGACUUUGUGCAUUUUCACAAGCCUUCAAUGAGUAGUUAUGUCAAAAGUCCAUUGAGUGGAUGAAGCCAUACAGCCAUACAGCUAGGUGCUUUCAUUGGACUCACAUUGCCCUUAAAUCUUCACUUAAACUAACAUAAAAUUGCCACAUUCUUAAAAGACUUAUAGCUUUUGAGUUUAACAGACCAAGAUUAAGUGGGACUGUCUCUCUAUUGGCAUUUUGAUGGUCUUUUAUAUAUGGAAAAAGAAAACCUAAAACCAAAAGGAAAAUUUAAUAUAAACUGUGAUUGUCAUCUUACAAACUG